GUUCCAGGGCCUGCUGUUCUCACCCCAGGCUCUGUGAGGAGGCAGAGGAAGGGACAGCUAAUGCCCUUUUCUGCUUCACGCAUUUCUCUGCUGAGCCAAAGGGUAGCCGUUCCCUCUGCUCAUCGAGUUUCGUUCCCGAUGUGUGCCCUGCCCUUCCUGGGAUUUAGGAAUGGUCACAAGUCGUUCACUUUGCAAUUCUCUUGUUCACAGCAUGGCUCUCCUUACAUGUUUAAGUCCUGGAUUUACUACGAUUCUCCCUUCUGUCUCAGCUCUGGAGUGGGCUUCAUGGUUCCCUGCCUCCUGCUUUGUACUUGGGUGGCCUGGGGGAGGUUGCUACUUCAUAAAUUUUAGGCUCGUUCUGGGCCGCAGGUGGGGCUCGCUUUCCCUCUUGAGGACACUGACGUCAUCUGUACCUUCAGCCUCCACUGCGGCUUCCCGUCACAGCAUCUUAUUUCAUUUCGGGGAGCCAUCCCCCAAAGCAGUCCACAUGGUGAGGUCAGGCUCAGGAGAUGCCGAAGGGAAGUGGAUGGACCUUUUCCACAGCCUGACCACAGUGAAUCAGAGGUUGGCAUCCGAGCCAAUCCCAGCAGAGGA
rnacentral:lncRNA from 1 species